AAGUCGUAACAAGGUAACCGUAGGUGAACCUGCGGUUGGAUCAUUAAAAAAUGUUUUGGUCUCGUGCCAAAUCAACACCUGUGUGCACCAUUGUCUGUAUUUGGUAGUUUAGGAGGUGGGCGACUCGCAAGGGUCUGUCCGCGUUCUCCGUGACCGCCAAUCAACGCAAGUUGGUUGGUGUCGGGCUACCGCCAUUUUUGAAAAACCUUAUGUUUGUUUAUGUUUUUGUCUGAACGAAGAGUUAAUCUUCAUUGAUUAAUGAUUUGAAUACAACUUUUGACAACGGAUCUCUUGGCUCUC
rnacentral:misc_RNA from 1 species